AGUGAACGCUGGCGGUAUGCCUAACACAUGCAAGUCGAACGGCAGCACAGUAAGGGCUUGCUCUUACGGGUGGCGAGUGGCGGACGGGUGAGGUAUACAUCGGACUCUACUUUUUCGUGGGGGAUAACGUAGGGAAACUUACGCUAAUACCGCAUACGACCUACGGGUGAAAUCAAGGGAUCUUCGGAUCUUGCGCGGUUGCACGAGCCGAUGUCGGAUUAGCUAGUUGGCGGGGUACCGGCCCACCAAGGCGGCGGUCCGUAGCUGGUCUGAGCGGAUGUCCACGGACUGUGGGACUGAGACACGGCACAGACUCCUAGGGGAGGCAGCGGUGGGGAAGAUUGGACGAAGGGCGGAAGCCUGAUCCAGCCGUGCCGCGUUGGUGAAGAAGGGCUUCGGGUGGUAAAGCCGUUUUGUUGGGGAAGAAAAGCAGCAGGAGAAAACCACGCUGUUGUGACGGUACCCAAAGAAGAAGCACCGGCUAACUUCGUG
rnacentral:rRNA from 1 species